rnacentral:rRNA from 5 species
UGGCGGCUUUAGCGCGGUGGUCCCACCUGACCCCAUGCCGAACUCAGAAGUGAAACGCCGUAGCGCCGAUGGUAGUGUGGGGCCUCCCCAUGCGAGAGUAGGGAACUGCCA